CUUUUGCGCCAAAGAGGACUUUUAAUUCAACAUCGAGGUCAUAAACUCACUUGUCAAUUAGAACUUUUAAAGUGAAUUAAGCUGUUAUCCCUAAAGUAACUUCUGCUUCUUUUCAAAAUGUUAGCUCUGAAGCUGUNAAGUCUUUNGUCUGUNGNAAAAGCUUCAUUUUUUUCUCCCGCCCCAGUAAAAUNCCUCCUCUCUCACCUAAGNGNAAAUUAAAUAUAAAGUUUUAUAGGGUCUUCUCGUCUUUAAGNACUAUUUUAGCCUUCUUACUAAAAAGUCAACUUCAUCCUCUUACUUUUAAAAAAGCUUUUCCAGUUUACCCUUUCAUUCCAG
rnacentral:rRNA from 1 species